CAGGUACUGCGGCAUAAUACCGCGGUUUAAUAAGGAACCGGGUGCGAUUCCCGGACGAACCCGUCACCGUGUUCGGUUGUCCAUGCUUCCUCCGCUCCGCCGCGGGGUGUCCAUUGAAGCGUCAGCUUUGAGAAGGCGAAGCGCGGACGAUAACCGUAAGCCGGGAGACUUGCCCGAAAG
rnacentral:ncRNA from 1 species